rnacentral:rRNA from 1 species
CUGGCUCAGGAUGAACGCUAGCGAGACGCCUAACACAUGCAAGUCGAAAGCCACUUCGGUGGCUUGGCAAACGGGUGAGUAACACGUGCUUAAUCUGCCCUAUGGUAAGGGAUACCUGUCGAAAGACAACUAAUCCCUUAUAUCUCCCACAAAAUGAAAAUAUGUGGAAGAAAGAUUUAUCGCCAAAGGAGGAGGGUGCGGCCUAUUAGUUAGUUGGUAAGGUAACUGCUUACCAAGACGAUGAUGGGUAGCUGGUCUGAGAGGAUGAUCAGCCACAAUGGAACUGAGACACGGUCCAUACCCCUACGGGGGGCAGCAGUGGGGAAUAUUGGACAAUGGAGGAAACUCUGAUCCAGCGAUCUCGCGUGGAGGACGAAGCAUUACGGUGCGUAAACUCCUUUUCUGGAGGAAGACGACUGACGGUACUCCAGGAAUAAGGGACGGCUAACUACGUGCCAGCAGCCGCGGUAAUACGUAGGUCCCAAGCGUUAUCCGGAUUUACUGGGCGUAAAGCGUCCGGAGCCGGUUAUAUAAGUCUGCAUUCAAAUACCCAGGCUCAACCUGGGAAAGGGUGUCGAUACUGUAUAACUAGAGUAAGAUAGGGGGUAGUAGAAUUUCCAGUGGAGGGGUGAAAUCCGUUGAUAUUGGAAGGAAUACCAAAAGCGAAGGCAGCUACCUAUAUCUUUACAGACGGUCGUGGACGAAAGCUUGGGUAGCAAAUAGGAUUAGAUACCCUAGUAGUCCAAGCUGUAAAUUAUGCUCGCUAGGUGUGUAGAGCCCUUGAGGUGCUACGUGCCGUANGCUAACGCGUUAAGCGAGCUGCCUGAGUAGUAUAGUCGCAAGGCUGAAACUCAAAGGGAUAGGCGGGGGAAACACACAAGCAG